rnacentral:rRNA from 1 species
AUUGAACGCUGGCGGCAGGCUUAACACAUGCAAGUCGAACGAGUGGCGGACGGGUGAGUAAUGCUUGGGACUUUUGCUUAUGGAUGGGGACAACUACGGGAACCUGUAGCUACUACCGCGUACCAUAGGAUGAGCCCAAGUGGGUUUAGGUAGUUGGUGGGGUAAAGGCUGACCAAGCCGACGAUCUCUAGCUGGGCUGAGAGGAUGACCAGUCACACUGGGACUGAGACACGGCCCAGACUCCUACGUGAGGCAGCAGUGGGGAAUAUUGCACAAUGGGAGAAAGCUGACGCAGCAAUGCCGCGUGAAUGAAGAAGGCCUUCGGGUUGUAAAGUUCUUUCGGUAGCGAGGCGUUAACUACAGAAGAAGCACCGGCUAACUCCGUGCCAGCAGCCGCGGUAAUAC